rnacentral:rRNA from 1 species
CUACGGGCCGCUCCAGUGAGGAAUAUUGCACAAUGGGGGGAACCCUGAUGCAGCAACGCCGCGUGGAGGAUGACGCAUUUCGGUGUGUAAACUCCUUUUAUAUGUCAAGAAAAUGACGGUAGCAUAUGAAUAAGCACCGGCGUAACUCCGUGCCAGCAGCCGCGGUAAUACGGAGGGUGCAAGCGCUACUCGGAAUCACUGGGCGUAAAGGACGCGUAGGCGGGUUGGAAAGUCAGGUGUGAAAUCCUACAGCUUAACUGUAGAACUGCACUUGAAACUUCUAAUCUAGAGUAUGGGAGGGGGAGAUGGAAUUAGUGGUGUAGGGGUAAAAUCCGUAGAUAUCACUAGGAAUACCUAAAGCGAAGGCGAUCUCCUGGAACAUUACUGACGCUAAGGCGUGAAAGCGUGGGGAGCAAACAGGAUUAGAUACCCGAGUAGUC